UGUGACGUCACAGGGGCUAAGAGGACGUGGCACCGGGAACAUUAGUAGCUACUCCUCAAGCAGCACGCUCUUUACCGGGCAGGACCAAGCUAUUCGAAACGACUUUCUUUCCCUCAGGGUCUGUACGAUCGAGAUAAUGGCGUCAAAUAACAGUCAGGUUGGAAAGUGGGAAGUCGUGAAAAAAAGCAAGAAACCGGGCACCGCCGGCAGCGGAGGGAAAAAUCCCGGAGAGAAGAAAGCUGGACGGAAAGCUCUGAGCGAAUCCAACAUGACGAGGAUCGACCAGCUUCCUCCCCUGGUGACAUCGGGGACUUUGUUCGAGGCUUUUGAGAAGAUGGGGAAGAAGCAUAACAAGGAGCAGGUUCCCCCAGCCGAGCCCAGCAACAAGAAGCCUUCGGCGGGCAAACAGAAGACCAAGCUACCCCCUGCCUCCACACAGACACACAACGCACACAAGAACCUGGAGGAUGCAUUCAAAGCAUUGGACGUGGGAGAGCUGAAGCAGCAGCUGGACCGGAGCCAGUCUCUGUUUCCUGACAACCCGUCAGUCUGGGUCAAAGACCUGGCAGGAUACCUCAACCACGCCCUGGCUGCUCCCGAGAUGGAACCCACCCUCAGCAGCUACACACACGAUUACCCAUACUGCCUUGCGGGGAAGGAGCUGAGGGGCGUGGUCAAAGCUUUGAUUGGUCGCUGCAACGAGAGUCUACAGGACUUCUACGACCACUGUGUUUACACCAUGCUGAGAGAACUGGACAAACGGACAGGUGAGAGAAACGGACAGGUGGGAGAACUGGACAAACGGACAGGAGAACCUCUCCAUGGUUACCGGGUCUGUAUCCAGGCCAUCCUACAAGACAAGCCCAGAAUGGCGACACAAAACCUUCCUAACUAUCUGGAGUUGUUGCGGUCAGUUCAGAACCGUCCGGUCAAGUGUCUGACAAUCAUGUGGUCUCUGGGACAGGCUGGCUACUACGACCUCAGCCAGGGGCUACGAGUAUGGCUGGGUAUCAUGCUGCCAGUCCUGGGGGUGAAGGCCCUGUCCUCCUACGCCAUCGCAUACCUGGAGAGACUACUGCUGCUCCAUGUUAACCUGACUAAAGGUUUUGGGGUCAUGGGACCUAAAGACUUCUUCCCACUGCUGGACUUCGCCUACAUGCCGAAGAAUGCCCUGUCACCAAGCCUCCAGGAGCAGCUGUGUCGUCUGUACCCUCGUCUGAAGGUGUUGGCGUUUGGGGCGAAGCCCGAAAUGACCCUCCACACUUACCUUCCCUCCUUCCUGUCCCGGGCCACGCCCCACUGCCCUGAUGAUAUGAAGAGAGAGUUGCUCAGCUCCAUGACGGAGUGUCUGUCUGUGGACCAUCAGAGUCUGGGUGUCUGGAGACAGCUAUACACCAAACACUUACCACAGUCCAGCCUGCUGUUAAACCAUCUACUGAAGUCCUGGAACACUCUGCCACCCAAGUUGCGCGGUUGGCUGCAGGAGACGGUCCAGUCAUUCAGAGUGACCAAUGAGGAGCUGAGAGGCACCGCUAACUCCACUGAUCUCCAGGACUGUAACAAGCUCUGUCACUGUCUCCAGGUGAAGAUGUCAGGUCGAGGUUUCCCCUGGUCCAGACUCUUCAUGGCUUUAUUGGUGUUUGCUGCUGGGUUUAUUACACACGACAUCCGGUCACGUGGCUCCUUCACAGACUCCUCCACAGCAAGCUAUCUCCACAGUUCAGGGGUGAUGGGCGUGUCUCAACAGGCCUGGAGCAAAGUCACCCUCUACUCACAGCAGGGCUUCAGCUGGCUGGAUACCAACACUCCCUACUACUACUCAGAGUGUGUCCGCGUGUUGAGUCCGGUACUGGAGAACAACUGGGAGAGAAUUAAAAACGCUGCGGUCUACAUCUCGCAGCUCGCAACACAACUCAUCGACUGGACCAAUCACAACACACCCCUACUAGUAGAAUGGCUGAGUUCCAGCACUCCGGACUGUGUGUUCCUGCUGAUAGACUAUCUGAAGCAGCUGUUACUCUUCCUCCAUACCAACUACCUGCUGCCAGCCUUCACACACGCCUCCCAUCUAACAGUACAGGCCUGGACGGCACUGCAGGACUCCUGCAGUGGGGAGGUGUCUGCAUCAUGCCUCCAGACCUACGCCCUCUCUCUGACCAACUCUACCUGGCACCUGCUACAAGACACCACCAACGCCAUCAAGACCUGGAUACAAGACCUGCUCCACACCUGAUACACACACACACAUACUGAUACACACACACACAUACUGACACACACACACACACAGAUCCACACAUACUUUAUGCACAUACACGCUUUAAACACAGUCUGAGACUCUUUGCUUGUGUUGCUUUGACCUCCUCCCUCCUCAAUCUCGCUCUCACUCUGACUCUCUCAUGGGCUUUAUUGGCAUGGGACAUGUGUUUACAUUACCAAGGGAUAUAAACAACAGUCCGUCACUAGCUAGGUGAUAUAAACAACGGUCUGUCGCUAGCUAGGUGAUAUAAACAGUCCGUCACUAGCUAGGUGAUAUAAACAACAGUCUGUCGCUAGCUAGGUGAUAUAAACAACAGUCUGUCACUAGCUAGGUGAUAUAAACAGUCCGUCACUAGCUAGGUGAUAUAAACAGUCUGUCACUAGCUAGGUGAUAUAAACAACAGUCUGUCACUAGCUAGGGGAUAUAAACAGUCUGUCACUAGCUAGGUGAUAUAAACAGUCUGUCACUAGCUAGGUGAUAUAAACAACAGUCUGUCGCUAGCUAGGUGAUAUAAACAACAGUCUGUCGCUAGCUAGGUGAUAUAAACAGUCUGUCACUAGCUAGGUGAUAUAAACAGUCUGUCACUAGCUAGGUGAUAUAAACAACAGUCUGUCGCUAGCUAGGUGAUAUAAACAACAGUCUGUCGCUAGCUAGGUGAUGUAAACAACAGUCUGUCGCUAGCUAGGUGAUAUAAACAGUCUGUCACUAGCUAGGUGAUAUAAACAACAGUCUGUCGCUAGCUAGGUGAUAUAAACAACAGUCUGUCACUAGCUAGGGGAUAUAAACAGUCUGUCACUAGCUAGGUGAUAUAAACAGUCUGUCACUAGCUAGGUGAUAUAAACAGUCUGUCACUAGCUAGGUGAUAUAAACAGUCUGUCACUAGCUAGGUGAUAUAAACAGUCUGUCACUAGCUAGGUGAUAUAAACAACAGUCUGUCACUAGCUAGGUGAUAUAAAGGCUAGUCUACACCUGGACAUUAUUAUGGAUAACAGAGAGAUUUUUAUUAUUCAAGCAUUGAUCACCAUGUCACCAAAAUAAGACCCUGGAUAUUUAUUGGAAAAGAGCAUCAAGAUCCCAGUGCUCUUUCACCCACCUGUGAAGUUCAUAACUUAUUUCAUAUGUAGCCUAAUAAACUGCAUGGUUUCCUGAGUCCUAGUGGGGGGGGGGGAUCACACAUACACACACCCACACACCAUGUCUCGCGACUCCAACUUUACUUCCAUAUGAUGGUUAUUAUAUCAAUAUUUCCAUAGUAAGUCAUUUCCACCGCCUUUUCUUGCAUAAUACAUUUUACAGACACAAACCGAUCUCUCUCUCUCUCUCUCUCUCUCUCUCUCUCAGCCCUCUCUCAGAUCCUCUUCCUCUGUCUGUUCCUCUCCUCCUCCUCCUCUCUGUCCGUCUCUAGCUCGUAGUAAAUAUUUCUACCAGCACGUCAACCUCUCUGGGAUCCCAUCCCUCUUUUCUAUAAAGACUGAUUUAUAAACAUGUUAUUGUUUAUUAGAGGGAGGGUUAUAAGUGCUGUAAUCAGGGUCAUAAACGGGGUCUUCUUGUUUAUAAAUACAGGAGCUCUGUUAGGGGGAGGGGGUCUUGCUCCUGAAAUCAAACCGUCUCUCCUCUCUCCUGUCCCUCGUCUCUCCUGUCUCUCUCUCCUGUCUCUCUCCUCGUCUCUCCUGUCCCUCGUCUCUCCUGUCUCUCUCUCUCUCCUGUCUCUCUCUCCUUCUCUCCUGUCUCUCUCUUUCUCUCCUGUCUCUCUCUUUCUCUCCUGUCUCUCUCUCCUCGUCUCUCCUGUCUCUCUCUCCUGUCUCUCUCUUUCUCUCCUGUCUCUCUCUCCUCGUCUCUCCUGUCUCUCUCUUUCCUCGUCUCUCUCUCUCUUUCUCUCCCGUCUCUCUCCCCUGACAGUGCUAACCCACUGAGCUAAUAAACACAGACUGGACUACUGCUGCUUCUCUCUGUUUACUUGAAGGCUGAUGAUGUUCUGCGCGCGUUGGGGUUGAUGAUUGACCUCCGUCCUAGUCCCCCCUCCCCUUUCUCCCUGUUACGACUGAUUUAUGGGUUUUUGUUUUUAAUUUGUUACUUUAUACAUAUGUAAAUGAUUUCUAAUAAAGUCUCCAGCCCC